rnacentral:ncRNA from 1 species
GACCUGAAAGAUGGUGAACUAUGGCUGGGCAGGGCGAAGCUAGAGGAAACUCUGCUGGAGGCCCGCAGCGGUCCUGACGUGCAAAUCGGUUGUCAGACCUGGGUAUGGGGCGAAACCAUCUAACCAUCUAGUAGCUGG